rnacentral:lncRNA from 1 species
CCCACUUCCUAAGACUCUGAAGCUAUCUCUCAGGACAACCUAAAUUAAACUUUUCCUUCUGUGUGUUCUCAGAACACUUUCCGUCUCUCCUUGGGCAUUGACCACAUUCUUUUUUUUUUUUGCCUUUUUGUCUUUUUGCCUUUUCUCACUCCCGUGGCCUAUGGAGGCUCCCAGGCUAGGGGUUUAAUUGGAGCCACAGCCGCCGGCCUACGCCACAGCCACAGCAACGCAGGAUCCGAGCCUCGUCUGUGAUCUACACCACAGCUCACAGCAUUGCCUGAUCCUUAACCCACUGAGCGAGGCCAGGGAUCGAACCCGCAACCUCGUGGUUCUUAGUCGGAUUCCUUAACCACUGCGCCACAAUGGGAACUCCAAUUGACCACAUUCUAAUGCAUUCCGUAAUGUUGUCUGUUUUGUAGGCCAGCUCUUUACGAGAAUGUAAGCUUAAGCUCUGCAAGGCCAAGGAUUGUCCCUUGUUGAUGUUUUAUCCCUCGUCGGCUCCAACCUGUGGCCAAGUUCCUGAGAGAAAGUUUGAAGCAGAAGCUCUGAAGCCAGCAGAGGAUACUGGGAAGGAACAUGCAGAAAUGUCAGAGGGGAAUCACAGGGGCAUGAUGUCCUGGAAACUACAGGAGGAAAGUGUACAAGAAAGUUCUCUGGGAGUAAGGUGAGGAGAAAGGAUGAUGUGGCCAGGAUGGGCAUACUGCUUAAGGUGAGCCGCUCAGCUCCCAUAACCAACAACUCCCACAUUUCACCGGCUUAGUUAAUGCUGUAAUAGCUUAUUUCUCAUUUGUGCAAUUUGCAGUUGGCUUGAGGAGCAGGGGUGGUGUGUCCUGCUCCAUAUAGUCCGUGGAGACAUAGCCCUUUUACGCUGUGGCUCUGUAAUACCUCUGCGCUUUGAACUCGAAGCUGAAUCGCCAGCAUCAGGCCUGCAGAUGGUGGAAGAGGAAGGAUCACCGGUGACAGCUUCUUCAUGGACCAGUGUCCUUCACCAACAUUCAACUGGCUAGAGCUUAAUCCCAUUGCGACGCCCAACAGCAAGGGAGGCUGUGACUUGUAGUCUGAAUCAUCCCUAGAAGGUAAAGCUGAUGGAUUUGGUGAACCCUAGAUAGUCUCCCUAACCCCCCCCCCCCGCCACGCCCACCUCCCCGCCACGCCC